UUCGGGUGUCGAGCGGCGGACGGGUUAGUAACGCGUGGGAACAUACCCCAGACUGAGGGAUAAGCACCAGAAAUGGUGUCUAAUACCGCAUAACAUCUACGGAUAAAAGCUUCGGCGGUUUGGGAAUGGCCUGCGUAAGAUUAGCUAGUUGGUAGGGUAAAGGCUUACCAAGGCGAUGAUCUUUAGCUGGUUUGAGAGGAUGAUCAGCAACACUGGAACUGAGACACGGUCCAGACUUCUACGGAAGGCAGCAGUAGGGAAUAUUCCACAAUGGGCGAAAGCCUGAUGGAGCAACGCCGCGUGCAGGAUGAAUGCCUUCGGGUUGUAAACUGCUUUUAUAGGUGAAGAUUUUGACGGUAACCUAAGAAUAAGGAUCGGCUAACUCCGUGCCAGCAGCCGCGGUCAUACGGAGGAUCCAAGCGUUAUUCGGAAUGACUGGGCGUAAAGAGUUGCGUAGGCGGUUUGUUAAGCAUGUAGUGAAAUUUCGGGGCUCAACCCCGGAACUGUUACGUGAACUGACAAACUAGAGUAUAUGAGGGGAGCUUAGAAUUCCUAGUGUAGGAGUGGAAUCCGUAGAUAUUAGGAGGAAUACCAAUGGCGUAGGCAGAGUUCUGGCAUAUUACUGACGCUAAGGCACGAAAGCGUGGGGAGCAAACAGGCUUAGAUACCCUGGUAGUCCACGCCGUAAACGAUGGAUGCUAGCUGUUUGGGGUAUCGACCCCCUGAGUAGCGAAGCUAACGCGUUAAGCAUCCCGCCUGGGGAGUACGGUCGCAAGAUUAAAACUCAAAGGAAUUGACGGGGACCCGCACAAGC
rnacentral:rRNA from 1 species